rnacentral:lncRNA from 10 species
CCCUACAUUUUCUUAAUUAUCUACUUGUUGUACUAAGUGGAUUCUGAAAGCCAGGAAAAAGACAUUGAGUUCCUUAGAAUGCUGUUGCCCAAAUGUCUGUUCCCUAUGACUGUGCUUGGUCAAAGUUAUACUAUUAGUUUCAUAUUUGUUUAAUUUUUGAUAGGUUGGGGUAAGUAGCAGAACAAGUUUUGUUCUUAAAAAACAGCCUUUGGAUUUUCUGUUUCCCUCAAAUCCCCUUCUCAAUCUGUAGUAAUAGCCCAGGCUUUUCAGAAAAGAGAGAUCCACUGGAAAGAAAAAGUCGUUGACACAGCCCACAGAAAGAGGGACACCUUCAGGAUAUGUGAAAAUGUGCUUUAAAGAGGAAAUGAAGACUACAGGCUAACCCUGUGAACCACCAGUGAUCUCUGACUGCUGCUCAGAAGAAACAAGAGGAAUGGGUAUCGUAAAAAUCUGAAUCAAUAUUCUAAUUCUGGGUGUGUACUGAAAUCAUCUAGCAACUCCAUAUCAGCUUGGUUCCAACAGCUGCCCAGUUCAUGGAAAACCCUCUAAUUUAGUUUACUCGGAAUAAUUUUACUUAUUUUGCUUUACUGUUGUGAAAUAUAUUGCUGUUGCAUGUAAAAAUGCAGAACAAGCUUACUAAAUGUUUUCUUAAACUGAACACUUAUUAAUCUUCCAGAUAUCACCUUUUGUCAGAACUUGGAGUUAUGAAUGGCCCAUAUACCAAUGCUUUCUGACUGAGCUCCUCUCUACCCAGAAUACAAGAGACCCUAAUAGUUAGGCAGGAAUAUUGUCACCCCUGUUCAGCCUGAAGAACUUACAGAAGGUGGAUCUUCAUUCCUCAGCAACCCUUAGGACUAAGGGUGCUCUUAUAAAAGGGAGGGGGGAAAUGUCAGGCAUGUGAACUGGAGCAACUCCAUCUUGAAUAGAAGCUGGGUAAAAUGAGGCUGAAACCUAUGGGACUGCAUUCCCAGACUGUUAAAGCAUUCUAAGUCACAGAAUGAGAUAAAAGGUCAGCACAAGAUACCGGUCAUAAAGACUUUGCUGAUAAAACAGGUUGCAGUAAAGAAGCUGGCCAAAACCCACGAAAACCAAGAUGGCGACAAGAGUGACCUCUGGUCGUCCUCACUGCUACACUCCCUCCAGUGCCGUGACAGUUUACAAAUGCCAUGGCAAUAUCAGGAAG